CUUGACAUCACUGUUUUACCUAUACAGUAUUUAAAUGCUAUAUAAAGCUUGACCAGUUACAUCCUCAUACAGGCCUAGUUACAUAGGUCUUCUGCCUUGCUUCUGUGCUGCAGGUAAGUAUCAAGAGAGUCAGUGGAGAACAAUCUGAAAAAUACAGCAAUUGUGCUACAGAUCAAGCAGAAUCAGCUUCGGGAAGGAGAUGCAACCACGGCUGCAAACGGACAUUUUCUGUCCGGCGCGACUUCCCUGCGAGGAGAAGCAUUACCCCAUGAGAAGAAACUAAAAGCCAGGUAGUUAUGAAAGCACAUCAAACAUCUGGGCUGCUCCCUGGAUUAGACUGAGCCAUGUCUAGAAUACUCCAAGGAUUCUUUCUGAAAAAGGAGUUUUCUUGAGGGGUUUGAGAAAUCCAGUACUCUGCAACGCAGUCUUGUGAAGCUGAGCUAUACCAAAUGAGAGAGAAGAAAGAAUUAAUGUGGGGAGAGGAAGACUGGAAGGUGUGGGGAAUCUUUACUAAAUACCUCUCUGAAGAUAUUAUGAAAAACAGAAGCAAGGAAGUCUAGCUAAUUCUUUGUGAUAUGGCUAAUGCAACAUUACCUUUAAGGUAAAUAACUAUGGUGGGGUGCUUUCAAACCAAAUGUAUUCAAAGUUCUGGGGAAC
rnacentral:lncRNA from 1 species